GACCGCUCCGGUGGACUAGUGGUUAGAACGUCCGCCUUAGAUGCGGGAGGUCGUGGUUUUGAUCCCCGGUCGAGUCA